rnacentral:rRNA from 1 species
AUGGGGCUAUUGCAGGGUUUUGGCAAAGCGACGGGGCUGAACUUGAACCAGGCGAAAUCGACUGUGGCACCCAUCAGAUGCUCUGGCAUCGACCUGCAACACGUUUUGUAGAAUUUUGGCGGGCAGAUCGUGGGCUUCCCCAUUAGAUAUCUCGGCAUCCCGGUGUUUCUAGGCAGGAUUAGACUAGUCUAUCUGCAAUACCUCCUCGACGGGAUUAGAGAUAGACUAGCGGGAUGGAAGGGUCGCCUGAUGCCACUCUCGGAGCGCCGUGUGCUGGUCAGGUGCGUGCUCUUUGCGCUCCCGGCAUUCGCGCUUGCAGUUCUUCGGGCUCUGGCAAAAUUCUUCAAGGAAGUCGACAAGGCCCGCAGGCGGUUCCUAUGGGCGCAGGACGAUGAGCUCGCUGGAGGCAAGUGCAAGGUCCGGUGGCAGGUGGUCGCGGCCCUGACGGAUCGCGGGGGGCUGGGCGUGCCGGACCUGUAG